UACGAAGGGGGCUAGCGUUGUUCGGAAUCACUGGGCGUAAAGCGCACGUAGGCGGAUCUUUAAGUCAGAGGUGAAAUCCCAAGGCUCAACCUUGGAACUGCCUUUGAUACUGGGGAUCUUGAGUCCGGGAGAGGUGAGUGGAACUGCGAGUGUAGAGGUGAAAUUCGUAGAUAUUCGCAAGAACACCAGUGGCGAAGGCGGCUCACUGGAUCGGCACUGACGCUGAGGUGCGAAAGCGUGGGGAGCGAACAGG
rnacentral:rRNA from 1 species